rnacentral:rRNA from 1 species
AGUGGCCGACGGGUUAGUAACACGUAGGAAUCUAUCCCGGGGUGGGGGAUAACAGUGGGAAACUACUGCUAAUACCGCAUGAUCUGAGGCAAAGGCGCGCCUUGGGAGGAGCCUGCGUCUGAUUAGCUAGUUGGUGGGGUAAAGGCCUACCAAGGCGACGAUCAGUAGCUGGUCUGAGAGGAUGAUCAGCCACAUUGGGACUGAGACACGGCCCAAACUCCUACGGGAGGCAGCAGUGGGGAAUAUUGGACAAUGGGGGAAACCCUGAUCCAGCAAUGCCGCGUGUGUGAAGAAGGUCUUCGGAUUGUAAAGCACUUUUGGCAGGGACGAUUGACGGUACCUGCAGAAUAAGCCCCGGCUAACUUCGUGCCAGCAGCCGCGGUAAUACGAAGGGGGCUAGCGUUGCUCGGAAUGACUGGGCGUAAAGGGCGCGUAGGCGGAUUGUACAGUCAGAAGUGAAAUUCCUGGGCUCAACCUGGGGACUGCUUUUGAUAC